rnacentral:snoRNA from 1 species
GGGACCAGUAAUGAGAAAGUGUCAUGAACCAAGUAUUAUGAUUAACUGGUUUUUG